GGCUCAGAGUUCACCGGUGUUAGC
rnacentral:siRNA from 1 species